rnacentral:rRNA from 1 species
UACGGAGGGGGCUAGCGUUGUUCGGAAUUACUGGGCGUAAAGCGCGCGUAGGCGGACCUGCAAGUCGGGGGUGAAAGCCCGAGGCUCAACCUCGGAACUGCCUUCGAUACUGCGGGUCUCGAGUCCGGGAGAGGCGAGUGGAAUUCCGAGUGUAGAGGUGAAAUUCGUAGAUAUUCGGAAGAACACCAGUGGCGAAGGCGACUCGCUGGACAAGUAUUGACGCUGAGGUGCGAAAGCGUGGGGAGCAAACAGG